rnacentral:rRNA from 1 species
UACGAAGGGGGGCUAGCGUUGUUCGGAGUUACUGGGCGUAAAGGGCGCGUAGGCGGCGCACCAAGUCAGGCGUGAAAGCCCUGGGCUCAACCCGGGAAUUGCGCUUGAGACUGGUGUGCUUGAGUACGGGAGAGGAUAGUGGAAUUCCCAGUGUAGAGGUGAAAUUCGUAGAUAUUGGGAAGAACACCGGUGGCGAAGGCGGCUAUCUGGACCGUAACUGACGCUGAGGCGCGAAAGCGUGGGGAGCAAACAGG